UAACGAAUCUUCCGCAAUGCACGAAAGUGUGACGGAGCGACGCCGCGUGCAGGACGAAGCCCUUCGGGGUGUAAACUGCUGUCAGGGGAAAGAAAGUUCUGAUCUACCCCAGAGGAAGAGGCGGCUAACUCUGUGCCAGCAGCCGCGGUAAUACAGAGGCCUCGAGCGUUAGGCGGAAUCACUGGGCUUAAAGCGUGUGUAGGCGGACUUCUAAGUACCUUGUGAAAUCCCACGGCUUACCCGUGGAACUGCUGGGUAUACUGGUUGUCUUGAGCUUUCUAGGGGCGAGCGGAACAAAUGGUGGAGCGGUGAAAUGCGUAGAUAUCAUUUGGAACGCCAAUGGUGAAAACAGCUCGCUGGGGAAAUGCUGACGCUGAGACACGAAAGCCAGGGGAGCAAACGGGAUUAGAUACCCCGGUAGUCC
rnacentral:rRNA from 1 species